rnacentral:rRNA from 1 species
CCUACGGGAGGCAGCAGUGAGGAAUAUUGGACAAUGGGCGCAAGCCUGAUCCAGCCAUGCCGCGUGCAGGAUGACGGUCCUAUGGAUUGUAAACUGCUUUUGCACAGGAAGAAACAACGCUACGUGUAGCGUCUUGACGGUACUGUGAGAAUAAGGAUCGGCUAACUCCGUGCCAGCAGCCGCGGUAAUACGGAGGAUCCAAGCGUUAUCCGGAAUCAUUGGGUUUAAAGGGUCCGUAGGCGGUCUUAUAAGUCAGUGGUGAAAUCUCCCCGCUCAACGGGGAAACGGCCAUUGAUACUGUAGGACUUGAAUUAUUAGGAAGUAACUAGAAUAUGUAGUGUAGCGGUGAAAUGCUUAGAGAUUACAUGGAAUACCAAUUGCGAAGGCAGGUUACUACUAAUGGAUUGACGCUGAUGGACGAAGCGUGGGUAGCGAACAGGAUUAGAUACCCGUGGUAGUCCACGCCGUAAACGAUGGAUACGUAGCUGGUUGGGUCGACUAAACCGUCUAGUGGUCGUACGACGAAGUAGAGUAAGUACUACCCGACCGUCGGGUAGGUACGUUCGUCGAAGAAGUAGUAAACGUUAAAGUUAAGUAAGUUAGUACGGCGUAGAGACGUACGACCGACGGACGACGACGGAGGGGAGGUUAGG